AUUCGCUGCUCGCACAGAAAUACAGGGCUGAAUCCCCUGGCUCAGUGGAGUUGAUUUCCAGGCUGCAGGGUGAGUUUUUGGGGCAUUGAGCCGAAAACUGAUCUUCAAACUUCUCUAUCUUAUCAAGAAUAUCUUCAUUCUGUAUCUAGGACUCUGGGUGACCUGGGUGUCCAUGGAGCCUGUGGAGGAAAGAGACAGAAACUGGAGAAAAAGCCCAGGAGGCAGACUGAUACGACAGCCACGGGAGAAAGUCCAGAAACGGAAUCCAAGAAGCUUACCUGCUCCCCAGAAAAAAAGGGCCACACAGCAGAGAAGUCUGAAGCACAUGGUGGGGUCAGGGGAAAAGCAAUGGCACACAGCCUUUGCUUUAAGGCUUCCCCGUCCCCAUCAGAACCUCCCUGUGACGCGAUCGCUUGCCGUUGCCUUCACAGCCACUGUGUGUACGAGUCCAAAAUAUUUCACAGGAUGUGGGAGGGCAGGGAGAGCUGCUGAAAACCACUAGGGAUUUCCUCUACACCUGGGAAUUGAAGACUGAGCUUUAAAGUGUCCAUGUCACUUACAUAAUGUGGCAAGAUGCUUUCCACAUUAGUCAAGCCACAUAAAUGGUCCCAUCAACAGUUCGUGAGUGUUUUCAAGUUCUCCACAUCCAAGACUUAAAGAGUAGCUAAUAUCCUUUUAAUGUUGUCAGGUUAAAAUGGAUCCCGCUACACUUCCAUUUGGCAUCUUUCUGAUUGCUAAGGAAGUUGAGUAUAUUUUUCAUAUUUCUAGACCAUGAGUGUUUUCUGUAAAUGGCUCUUUGCUCAUAUUUCUUUGUGGUUGACUAGCUAUUAUUUAUUUGUAACAGUUCUUUGUAUAUUCUGGGAACCAAACCUUUGUCAGUUGUAUAUGUCAUUAAUAUCUCAAUCUGUGGCUUGUGUUUUCAUUCUCUUUGUGAUUUUUUUUGGUUGAAUUUCUUCAUUUGGUAGAGUCUAUCAUUCUUUUUUUGGGGGGGGCAUACAUUUUUUAAUUUUUUAUUAAAAUUGCUCCCAUAACCUAAGUUCAUAAAGAUACACUCCCAUUUUAUGUACCAAAACAAUGAGCAUUUAGAAUUUUUCAUUUAAGUGUUUAAUUCAUCUAGAACUUAUUUUUGCUUAUGUUGUAAAGAAGGGUUUCAAUUCAUCUUCCCUUCUAUGGAUAACCACUUAUUCUAGAAUAACUUACUGUCUCUUCCAUCAUUCCCUUAUAUUCCCACAAUGAUGGCUGUCAUAUAUUAAGUGCUUUAUAGGCAUUUAAUCUUCAUAUUAUUUUCUUUUUUUUAAAUGUUAAUUUUGAGAGAGAGAGCACGAGUGGGGGAGGGGCAGAGAGAGACAGAGACACAGAAUCCAAAGCAGGCUCCAGGCUCUGAACUGUUGGCACAGAGCCUGACAUGGGGCUUGAACCCACAAGCCAUGAGAUCAUGACCUCAGCUGAAGUCCAACGCUUAACUGACUGAGCCACCCAGGUGCCCCAAGUCUUCCUGUUAUUUUCAAUUUGUCUAUUUAUUCAUGCCUUUCCCAUUAUAUUAAGUUAUAAAAUAAUUGGGUGAUUGGUGGGGCAAUCUUUUGUAAAAAGCAAGAGAGUUAUAUGAUCUGAAGAGAAACCAGAGUAUUGGUAGGGCAAUCUUGUGAUUUUAAUUAGUGCUGCAUUGAUGAUGAUACUGCGGAAACUGGAACACUAUUCCUUUUGGGUUUACUUAUUUAUUUUCAUGGUACGUACCUCCACUUAUUUCAGAUUUUUAAAUUUUCUGCUUCUAAUAUCCUGAAAAUCACCAGGAUAUUCUUCCAACCAGCACCGAAAGUACCUCACCUGAGGUACCAAAAGUAUCGACAGCUUCUUAGAUGGAGGAAGAUCUAUGCUUGCUCCUUACGCAGCGGAGGUUAUUUUACAAGAAGAGCCACAUCACCCCCUAGUGGUCAAAGGGGCAAAUUCAUCAGCCGACCUCUGAUCCCUCCCUGCCUUCACCUGCUAGGAGCUUUGGAGGCCACAUUAGAAGUUGCCAUCAGCGUGAGACCCUGUUCCGGGAACUGACGAUACCAAAACACAGUUGUGGCUUGAAGGUCCACCGAAUGGCACUCGAUCAUCACAGAGGUUCCACUCUUACGGACAGCUGUCCUUGGAUUCUGAGAGACGAGAGCA